rnacentral:rRNA from 1 species
AUUGAACGCUGGCGGCAGGCCUAACACAUGCAAGUCGAACGAGCGGCGGACGGGUGAGUAAUGUCUGGGAAACUGCCCGAUGGAGGGGGGUAACUACUGGAAACGGUAGCUAAUACCGCAUACCAUCGGAUGUGCCCAGAUGGGAUUAGCUAGUAGGUGGGGUAAAGGCUCACCUAGGCGACGAUCCCAAGCUGGUCUGAGAGGAUGACCAGCCACACUGGAACUGAGACACGGUCCAGACUCCUACGGGAGUCAGCAGUGGGGAAUAUUGCACAAUGGGCGCAAGCCUGAUCCAGCCAUGCCGCGUGUCUGAAGAAGGUCUUCGGGUUGUAAAGUACUUUCAGCGAGGAGGCGUUACUCGCCGAAGAAGCCCCGGCUAACUCCGUGCCAGCAGCCGCGGUAAUUC